UACGUACUCCCUCGGUCCGGAAAUACUUGUCACCAAAAUAAAUAAAAAGGAAUAUAUCUGGAUGUAUUUUAGUUCUAGAUUCAUCCCUUUUUAUCCAUUUUGAUGACAAGUAUUUUCGGACGGAGAAAGUAUGUU
rfam:Triticum urartu cultivar G1812 contig278109, whole genome shotgun sequence.